rnacentral:rRNA from 1 species
UACGUAGGGGGCGAGCGUUAUCCGGAAUUAUUGGGCGUAAAGAGUGCGUAGGUGGCCAUGUAAGCGCGGGGUGAAAGGCAAUAGCUUAACUAUUGUAAGCCUUGCGAACUGUGUGGCUUGAGUGCAGGAGAGGAAAGUGGAAUUCCUAGUGUAGCGGUGAAAUGCGUAGAUAUUAGGAGGAACACCAGUGGCGAAGGCGACUUUCUGGACUGUAACUGACACUGAGGCACGAAAGCGUGGGGAGCAAACAGGAUUAGAUACCCUGGUAGUCCACGCCGUAAACGAUGAGCACUAGGUGUCGGGGUCGCAAGACUUCGGUGCCGCAGUUAACGCAUUAAGUGCUCCGCCUGGGGAGUACGCACGCAAGUGUGAA